GCAGAAAGUGUUCACUUCUUCUGUUUCGGGCUGUACGCUGUGGUUCUGCACCUCCAGGGCUUUGCUGCCUGGCGAGCGUCCUCCCUGUACCACAGGAUCCUUGCCCGACCUACAAACCCGAGGCUUCUAUGGGAGAGUCUGGAUUCGCCAUAGGGGUUUCUCCUAGCGCGGAUUGUGUGUUUGCAUUGGCGAUGCUCAUAGAAGAAAGGCGCAGAGCUGUACGAGGAGGCGGGAUGCACGGGUCAGAGCCCUCGGUGGCCUCCGCCCGCUGCUCUUGGCGCCGGGCCGCUCCUGGAGACCGCGCGGCAGCCGCCUGGGAGGCGAAGCGCGUAAUCUCCGCGCUACCCACGCGGGGCCGCGGCGCGGUGGCCGCACUUUGGCUUUGGGCGCUGGAUGGACAGGGGGGUAAAGGGUUGGGGUUCCCCUAACGUGGAUUACUUGGUGCUUAUCAACUGGAUUUAGAAGACUCUCGACCGGGUCUCCAUCAUCCGUGGGUUGUCUUUCCAUCUCCCAGCCGCUCGCUCUUCCACCUGGAGGUAGGCCUAGAAGGAGACUGACCAAGGGCUGAUCCUGCUUAUCCAUGCUACUUAUCAGGAACUGUGGAACCAUGGAGAACAUGACCCUGGCCCUCCCUUCAGGAUCUGCCUGCCUCUUGAGACGCUAGAGCCCUGGAUUCAAUUGAGGAACAUUAUGUUGGAGAAUAUAAACACUUCUAGACUGUGCAGACAUUUGGGAAGGAAUAGUCUGUUUUGACUUGAAUGAACAAAGACAUACGUCUCUGGGCCUGGGGAAGGCUUACCAGCUCAGUUCAUCUACUGCCUGGUGGCAAACAUGUCCCCUGCUGCCCCUACCCAGGAUACGCUUCCUCACUCUGUCCCUGUCCAGUUACCGCACCCUUCCCUGUUUGACCCCGCCUCCUGUGCCCACUUGCCUCUGGACCCAGAGAUUCUUCUUGUUUGCUCUAUCAUCCUUGAGCUGGAUCCAGGGUGAAUAGUUAACCACACUUGGGUUGAAUGGGAUCUUGAUUCUUAUUUCUCUUCCUUGGAAAGAGGGGUCAGUCUCGGUGCGUGGCACCCGGCCUGGAAGCAGCACAAGACUCAGAGUGAUACAUGAUCUGCCUGGAUGGUCCCGUGGGCUCUUUGGAGGUCAGAGCCUGAGCAGGGGGGCUGAGGAGGGCCGGCACUGGAUCACACGCAGGCGUAUGUCUGGAUAGGCCGAGAGGAGCCCACUUUUCAUUCCCUCUUCUGUGACACAAAUGCCAGGAACUUUGAAAACUCUCUUCGGAGGUUGCAGUCGGAGAUCAGCUUGUCCAAGGGCUUCAUGUCUGAGCUCUGUUGGUCGUGCCUCCUGAGGACCUCUUUCCUCUACUGUAUGCUGAUGACACACCCAUCCGCUGGGAGCUGGAGCCUUGUCGGGUCCUUUCCUCUAGGACCCCGCUUGCGCAGUUGGAAAUCCUUCCUAAUCAUGCCUUGAUUCCCCCUUCUCAACUACACUCAAAGAUGUUUGAGCUGUUUUAUUUGCAAAAUGGAUGGACAGUUUGUUUCUAUAAAACAAUCCCAGCUUCCUUGUGCUCUAUCUGGUGUGUUUGUAUGGCUCUUCAGUGACUUUAAAGUGGAGCGUUGACCUUGGCCUCUUCGAUUCUCCAUGGUGGAAUAGAGAAGACCUCUUGAAGAUGCUUAAUGUUGCUGAGAUCUUAAGAAGGCUUGCAGACUUCCUUUUCCUUCCUCCUCCUUCCACCUCCUUCUUCCCUAAGCAGCCUCUGCAUUGUAUACAUUCCUUUAUAUAAAUUCCUCUG
rnacentral:lncRNA from 1 species